UUGCUUGCUUCAGCAGCACGUAUACUAAAAUUGGAACAAUACAGAGAAGGUUAGCAUGGCCCCUGAGCAAGGAUGACAGGCCAGUUCAUGAAAGAGCUAAUUGGGAAUGCUAUGAACUUUU
rnacentral:snRNA from 1 species